UGUAAAUAUCACUUUAAUAUUUAGGUAAAUUUUCCUUUUUCAUUUUCUCCAUGUUUGAUGGAUGUAAUCUAAGUGUAAUUUUCUUGUUGAUAUGCAUUAUAUUUAUACCUCCGAUGGAAGCACGAAUACUCGUGUAGUUACUACAAUGUACACACAGGAUAAUUGGACAAAUUAUGCACGCGGAAUUAGACCGACAAGGUUAAUAAAUAAGAUGAACUUGUUUAUCUGGUAUACAUAUACCCAUUCAUGUACCUAUAAAUUGUUUACGUUUAAAACUAUAGACUGGGAAAUAUCCUAGUACCUGGUAGUGAAAUUUUAGUUUGGAAUGCAAUCGCGCCUACACAUACUUCGCCAUUUUUCAACCGAUAAGUACUAUAAACACUUCGUUAGACACGUCUAUUUUCUGAAUUGUCUAUUUUCCUGAAUUAUUUUAGGUUACCAGACUACAUUUCGGAGGUAAUAUAAAAAAACAAAAUAGUACGUGUCAAAUAAGGAAUGAAAAGAUUUUUCCAACGUUUCGCCUCAGAUUAGAGGUUUUAUCAAAGUUGUGAAUUAUGUUGCUUCAUGGAAUACAUUUACGGUUUGUUAAUGGAUUAAGUAUCACCGACUUUUAAAAAUACCUUGAAAAAGCCUCUAAACUGAGAGAAACGUUGGUUGUUUUUUAAAAUAAAAAAGCUUUUCACCCUUUAUUUGGCAUGUAUUAUUUUGUUGAUACUACUCAGGGGACGAAUUAUGGAAUGUGAUAAUAUAAAGAAGCAGAGAAAGAUCAUCACAGUCCACAGUGUAUCAUUAGAUGACACCAUUUUUUAAUAUAUCUCGCAAUAGGUACAUUCAGUACCAAACCACCCGUCUGAAGAAGCCAAAGUCUGGUGAAAAAUUGCUGCAAAGAUAAUAAAUUUUAAAGUCAUCUUUAAAAUCUACUCUACACAAACUUCGAAAACAACUUGCAAGAUAAGCACUCAAAAAUUACAUUUCUGCAGAUGUACGUAUGCUUUACUGAUAUCCCAUUAAAAUUACGAGGCAAUUACGAGCUUUGAGAUAAACAUUACAUUCAUAAAACAGUAAUGCCAUCUCAAAAGAUAAUUACUAUUGUGUACACUAUACAGUAUAAACAGUCUUUACACCAAAGCAGUACGUUGUGUGAACUACAUAAGUAAAAUAGUAGUUAUCAUCAAAUUUGCAAUUUAAUUUCAAUAAAAGAUAUUAAGUCCUAAAUGUUUGAAACUACUUAUAUAUGUUUAAGAACAUACUUAGGUAUCAGAGAAAAAUCAAAAAUGCAAGGUCAUCAUGAUAAAAAAAUAAAAUUU
rnacentral:lncRNA from 1 species